CCUACGGGGGGCAGCAGUGAGGAAUAUUGGUCAAUGGGCGGGAGCCUGAACCAGCCAAGCCGCGUGAGGGAUGAAGGUACAGCGUAUUGUAAACCUCUUUUAUCAGGGAACAAAAGCGGGGACUAAUCCCCGGAUGAAUGUACCUUAAGAAUAAGCAUCGGCUAACUCCGUGCCAGCAGCCGCGGUAAUACGGAGGAUCCGAGCGUUAUCCGGAUUUAUUGGGUUUAAAGGGUGCGCAGGCGGCCUGUUAAGUCAGCGGUAAAA
rnacentral:rRNA from 1 species